GACGAACGCUGGCGGCGUGCUUAACACAUGCAAGUCGAACGGAAAGGCCCUGCUUUUGUGGGGGGCUCGAGUGGCGAACGGGUGAGUAACACGUGAGUAACCUGCCCUUGACUUUGGGAUAACUUCAGGAAACUGGGGCUAAUACCGGAUAGGAGCUCCUGCUGCAUGGUGGGGGUUGGAAAGUUUCGGCGGUUGGGGAUGGACUCGCGGCUUAUCAGCUUGUUGGUGGGGUAGUGGCUUACCAAGGCUUUGACGGGUAGCCGGCCUGAGAGGGUGACCGGCCACAUUGGGACUGAGAUACGGCCCAGACUCCUACGGGAGGCAGCAGUGGGGAAUAUUGCACAAUGGGCGGAAGCCUGAUGCAGCAACGCCGUGUGCGGGAUGACGGCCUUCGGGUUGUAAACCGCUUUCGCCUGUGACGAAGCGUGAGUGACGGUAAUGGGUAAAGAAGCACCGGCUAACUACGUG
rnacentral:rRNA from 1 species